AUGAACGCUGGCGGCGUGCUUAACACAUGCAAGUCGAACGAUGAUCCUAGCUUGCUGGGGGAUUAGUGGCGAACGGGUGAGUAACACGUGAGUAACCUGCCCUUAACUCUGGGAUAAGCCUGGGAAACUGGGUCUAAUACCGGAUAUGACUCCUCAUCGCAUGGUGGGGGGUGGAAAGCUUUAUUGUGGUUUUGGAUGGACUCGCGGCCUAUCAGCUUGUUGGUGAGGUAAUGGCUCACCAAGGCGACGACGGGUAGCCG
rnacentral:rRNA from 1 species